UACGUAGGGGGCGAGCGUUGUCCGGAUUUAUUGGGCGUAAAGACCUCGUAGGCGGUUUGGUAAGUCAGCGGUGAAAGUUCGGAGCUCAACUCCGAAAGUGCCGUUGAUACUGCCAUGACUUGAGUCCGGUAGGGGAGUGUGGAAUUCCUGGUGUAGCGGUGAAAUGCGCAGAUAUCAGGAGGAACACCAGUGGCGAAGGCGGCACUCUGGGCCGGUACUGACGCUGAGGAGGGAAAGCUAGGGGAGCAAA
rnacentral:rRNA from 1 species